GAUGAACGCUAGCGGCGGGCUUAAUACAUGCAAGUCGAGGGGUGGUAGCAAUACUACACCGGCGCACGGGUGCGUAACGCGUAUGCAAUCUACCUUUAUCUGGGGGAUAGCCCGGGGAAACCCGGAUUAAUACCGCAUAACAAAUUGAUUGGCAUCAAUUAAUUUUAAAAGAUUUAUCGAUGUAAGCUGGGCAUGCGUGCAAUUAGUUAGUUGGCGAGGUAAUGGCUCACCAAGACGAGGAUUGGUAGGGGAACUGAGAGGUCAAUCCCCCACACUGGCACUGAGAUACGGGCCAGACUCCUACGGGAGGCAGCAGUAGGGAAUAUUGGGCAAUGGGCGCAAGCCUGACCCAGCCAUGCCGCGUGCAGGAAGAAGGCGUUAUGCGUUGUAAACUGCUUUUAUACAGGAAGAAACGACCCUUGCGAGGGGCAUUGACGGUACUGUAUGAAUAAGCACCGGCUAACUCCGUGCCAGCAGCCGCCGUAAGAC
rnacentral:rRNA from 1 species